ensembl:lncRNA
ACCUCUGUCUGGUGUUGUAGUAGGUGCUUGAUGGUGAUAUGUGCUGUAUGGGAUAGGCCUCUCCCUAAGCAUAGUGAAAGGGUGCUGUUGUGCUCAGGCAGACUGUUCUUGCUAAUGAAGUAAACAAGAUUAGAAGGCGAAGGAAUGAGGAGACAAUAGGAGCCAUAUAAGGAAUUGUGAAUGGCACUCAUCAUGAAAGGCAGUCUAUACAGGAUAUUUCAGAAUUGAUCCUCUCUUCAAGCCUCUGAUGCCAAAAAUCAGUGGCCAGCAUACAAGAGAAAUCUGGAUAAGAAAAAUACUUUGCUCCCUUCCCUGACUUGGGACUACUCAUUGCUGCAGCUGUUCACCAUCCCACAGUUUUUCCCCAAAGCAAUUUGUGGAACUACUGCAAACCAGAUCAUGAAAAUGGAACAAGUUACAGGUCUACAAAAUGUCUUAGGUGUUGUCAGCUAGUUCUUCUUGUCAUAUACCAUGUGGGACCUUGCUAUGGUGUUGCUUCAUUAUUCUGAUGCUGACUGAUGUGGACUCCUGUGUCUGUCUGCGGCUGUUCUGUUACUGUACAACACUGUCCUUUGCCCCUUGCUGAUGACUGCAGCUCUGCCAACCUGACCCUCAGCUGCUGCACUUCCAGCCACCCACACUUCUCAUCCUAGGCAUGAGAGAGAUGAAGUGCAAUGCAGCAUUGGAACAUGGAGCGAUCACAAUCAGACAGUGUAUACCUGAAGUGUCACUGCUGGGCUCUCACCUGCUAUGAACCAGUAAAGCUUGGUGUCAAAUAUUUUUAUAGUAUUUACUCUCAAACUAAAUUAAGAUGGCAUGUAUAUGCAUAUUAAGAUAGAUAUCAGUAGUAUUUUUAUACAUACUAAUUUUAACUUUAGGAAAAGACAUUGGAAGUUAUGGGCGGCAUUAUAGAAAGGUUUUCAUAUUUAUUACUCUAAAACUUCAGAACUGCAGCUUUAGAAUUGCGUUGUAGAUUUAAUUUCAGAAAGUACAGUUUUCUUAUAGAAAGGAUCUAGCUUUGGAAGGAUUUUUCAAUAAGUUUUUGGAAGCUUAAAACAAUGGUAAUCCAAAAGACCUACAGGUAAUGUAUUGCUGUUCCUGGUGGUUUUAGUUUCUUACGUUAACCAUUUUGUAUGGCUUCUCUUUUUAGAGAGCAGAAAUUCUGGUUUGUUGAUUGGUUUUAUUUUUAAUAUAAUACACAUCUUUCAGCUACUCUUGCUUCUUUAAGGUUUUUAUAUUGACUAGAAACAUGCACAGCUGAAGAAAGAAGCAGUGCAGAUUUAGAUGGGAUUAAAUACAUUUCCUAGAAUAUGGAAUUCUUGUGAGUUCUGCAUCCAUUAAAUUAACUUAUUUAACUUAUGUACCCUUCUUCUGAAAUGUCAUGGUCUAACAGUCCUUUAAGGGGGGAUAAAAUCAGAUUUCAGCCUCUAUCAUUGUUCAUUUGGCUAAAUAAAUAUGAAACAUUUGU